GGGGCUGACCGGUUUUGACAGCAACAGAAAGGGUAAGUAAGCAUGCCGAGCCAGCGUGAUAAAGCUCGUUAAUCCGUGUCACACAUUUUUUAUUUGGCGAUAAUAACUACGCUCUCGCAGCCUAAUCGAAGUUUAGUAGAUUGGCUCUAUUCCUGGUCUAGGUUACCGGGGACGGGACGGUUCGCUGGUGGAGUCGCCCGAUUCCGGCCAGGUUACGGAUCGCAAGCAAUUUCGGGAUAGUUUCUGCUCCGCUUCGUGGCAGCAAUGAAAUCAAGAAGCUAAGCUUGGGUUUUGGGUGUUUGUUCCCGCGCCCUUGUCGAAAACCAAUAACAAAAUAUGUAUGUAGAAAGCUUAUUGGUUCUUUGUUUGGACGAGGGUUCGAAUCCCUCCAGCUCCACAA
rnacentral:tmRNA from 1 species